rnacentral:rRNA from 1 species
AGAAUCAACGCUGGCGGCGUGCCUAACACAUGCAAGUCGAACGAGAAAGUGGAGCAAUCCAUGAGUAAAGUGGCGCACGGGUGAGUAACACGUGACUAACCUACCCUUGAGUGGGGAAUAACCUAGGGAAACCUGGGCUAAUACCGCAUAACACCUACGGGUCAAAGGAGCAAUUCGCUUAAGGAGGGGUCGCGGCAGAUUAGCUAGUUGGCGGGGUAACGGCCCACCAAGGCGAAGAUCGGUAU